UAUUGGACAAUGGGCGCAAGCCUGAUCCAGCCAUGCCGCGUGAGUGAUGAAGGCCUUAGGGUUGUAAAGCUCUUUCGCCAGGGACGAUAAUGACGGUACCUGGAUAAGAAGCCCCGGCUAACUUCGUGCCAGCAGCCGCGGUAAUACGAAGGGGGCUAGCGUUGUUCGGAAUUACUGGGCGUAAAGCGCAUGCAGGCGGAUCGCUAAGUCAGGGGUGAAAGCCCGAAGCUCAACCUCGGACCUGCCUUUGAUACUGGCGAUCUUGAGUCCGGGAGAGGUGAGUGGAACUCCGAGUGUAGAGGUGAAGUUCGUAGAUAUUCGCAAGAACACCAGUGGCGAAGGCGGCUCACUGGCCCGAUACUGACGCUGAGGUGCGAAAGCGUGGGGAGCAAACAGG
rnacentral:rRNA from 1 species